rnacentral:rRNA from 1 species
UGGUGGCGAUGGCGAGAAGGUCACACCCGUUCCCAUACCGAACACGGAAGUUAAGCUUCUCAGCGCCGAUGGUAGUUAGGGGCUGUCCCCUUGUGAGAGUAGGACGCUGCCGGGCU